rnacentral:rRNA from 1 species
CCUCUUGUUCGGGAUAACUGCUGGAAACGGCAGCUAAUACCGGAUAAGCUCCCCCAAUUGUAUGGGGAGGAAAGGAGGCCUCUUCAUGAAAGCUUCCGCGAGGGGAUGAGUCCGCGUCCCAUUAGCUAGUUGGUGAGGUAACGGCCCACCAAGGCAACGAUGGGUAGCCGGUCUAAGAGGAUGACCGGCCACACUGGAACUGAAACACGGUCCAGACUCCUACGGGAGGCAGCAGUGAGGAAUAUUGGUCAAUGGCCGGAAGGCUGACGCAGCGACGCCGCGUGAGGGAUGAAGGUUUUCGGAUCGUAAACCUCUGUCAGGAGGGAAGAAAGCGCAUGGCGCCAAUCAGUCAUGCGUUGACGGUACCUCCAAAGGAAGCGCCGGCUAACUCCGUGCCAGCAGCCGCGGUAAUACGGAGGGCGCGAGCGUUAAUCGGAAUUACUGGGCGUAAAGCGCGCGUAGGCUGUUGUGUAAGUUGGGGGUGAAAUCCCACGGCUCAACCGUGGAACAGCCCUUGAUACUGCGCGACUUGAAUCCGGGAGAGGGUGGCGGAAUUCCAGGUGUAGGAGUGAAAUCCGUAGAUAUCUGGAGGAACAUCAGUGGCGAAGGCGGCCACCUGGAUCGGUAUUGACGCUGAGGCGCGAAAGCGUGGGGAGCAAACAGGAUUAGAUACCCUGGUAGUCCACGCUGUAAACGAUGGAUGCUGGAUGUCGGGGAGUAAUCCCCGGUGUCGUAGCCAACGCGAUAAGCAUCCCGCCUGGGGAGUACGGUCGCAAGGCUGAAACUCAA